CCUACAGCCACACCACCCUGAACAUGCCUGAUCUCGUCUGAUCGUGGAUGCUAAGUAGGUUCGGGCCUGGUUAGUACUUGGAUGGUAACAGUCCACCUUUUCUGCUCAUGGUUAGGA
rnacentral:rRNA from 1 species